rnacentral:rRNA from 1 species
GACGAACGCUGGCGGCGUGCUUAACACAUGCAAGUCGAACGGAAAGGCCCUGCUUUUGUGGGGUGCUCGAGUGGCGAACGGGUGAGUAACACGUGAGUAACCUGCCCUUGACUUUGGGAUAACUUCAGGAAACUGGGGCUAAUACCGGAUAGGAGCUCCUGCUGCAUGGGGGGGGUUGGAAAGUUUCGGCGGUUGGGGCUGGACUCGCGGCUUAUCAGCUUGUUGGUGGGGUAGUGGCUUACCAAGGCUUUGACGGGUAGCCGGCCUGAGAGGGUGACCGGCCACCAUGGGCCUGCGGGACGGCCCAGAAGCCUACGGGACGCAGCAGUCGGGAAUAUUGCACAAUGGGGGGAAGCCUGAUGCAGCGACGCCCCGUGCGGGAUGACGGCCUUCGGGUUGUAAACCGCUUUCGCCUGUGCCGAAGCGUGAGUGACGGUAAUGGGUAAAGAAGCACCGGCUAACUACGUG